rnacentral:lncRNA from 1 species
AAAAGACCAAGUAAAUAAUCUAACAUUACAUCUCAAGACCCUAGAAAAAGAACGAAUCAAUAAAAACAGUAGAAGACAGGAAAAAAAUGAAAAUCAGAGCCACAAUCAAUGAAACUGAAAUUAAAAAACAAUUCAAAAAAUCAAUGAAACAAAAAGUUGCUUUUUUUGAAUAAACAAAAUUGAUAAACCCUUAGCCAAGCUACCUAAAAGAAAGAGAGGAAAACUCAAAUUAUUAAAGUUCAUUAUGAAAAAGGAAAUAUCACCACAGACAAUACAGAAAUACAGAGGAUAGUUAGAAACCAUUUUGACAAAUUAUCCUCUAAAUCUUGAAUACACUGAAAAAUUCUUAGAGAUAUAUGUCCUACCUAAAUUGAACCAGGAGGGCAUAGAAAAUGUAAACAGAUAAAUUUCAAGUAAUGAAAUUGAAGAUGCCCUCAAAAGUCAACAAGGAAAAGCCCAGGACUGGAUGGAUUCACAGCCAAGUUCUACCAGACCUUUAAAAAAUAACUAAUACUGAUCCUCCUCAAAUGAUUCCAUGAAAUAGAAAAAGUGUGAACUCCACCAAACUCAUUCUAUGAAGCUAGUAUCACCCCAAUAUCAAAACCAGACAAAGGCACAUAAAGAAAAGAAAUCUUCAGACCAAUAUAUUUGAUGAACAUAGAUGUAAAAAUUCUCAAUAAAAUAUUGGCAAAUCACAUGAAAAACAAGUUAAAAAGAUAGUGCACCAUGAUCAAGUGGGUUUUAUCCCAAGAAUGCAAGAUGGUUUCAACAUACAGAAAACACCAAAUGAAAUUCAUCACAUAAAUAGACUUAAAGACAAAAAUCACAUGGUUAUCUCAAUGUAUGCAGAAAAAGCAG